AUCAGUGCCUCCUCAUAAGAAAUGACUCAUCUCUCACUUAGGAUGUGAAAAACAACAAUUUCACCUUUCUACCAGAUGGUGAUGGAGGAUGUCAUCUGGAAGCUCCAACCUUGUGAGUUUCCAAAGAUCAGGAGAGAGAGCCUCCCCAGGAGUCCAGCCUUUGUGCAUUUCUUUGCACUAGUUCCACAGUGAUGUCCCAAGCAACCAGAAGUUUUCUCAUGAGUGACAUUUGGAAUGCAGUCCAGUGGUAGCUGAGAGAAGGAUUCAUUUAACAGCAAUGAUGAGUUUGGAUUUAAACCUGACUGAAUCUUCAGGCUGCCCAACAAAGCAACGCAUUGAGAUCUUAUAUAGCAGAGAUUCUUCAUCUGGGGUGCACAGAUAGAUUUAAGGGGUUCUUUGAGCUUGGAUUUGAAAAAAUAUAUUUCACUUAUUAUUUUAUCAUUACACAUAAUUUGUUUUUUUGGUAAUCCUAUGUAUUUCUUUUUAUGAAUUUAAAAACAUGCAUCUGAGGAAGGAACCAUAGGCUUUGCCAGAUUAUGGAAGGGUCUAUGAUACAAAAAAUAAGAUUACAAAAUUGGUAUAUAGCUUCUGUUUUUGUGAUUUAAAAAGAUGUCAUGUGAAUGACUGUAGUGAACCACUUGGACAGAAAGAUCAUGCUUUUUCAAGUGCCCUCCUUUGUUCCUUGUGCUAAUUCAAAAAGCUUGCCCUGUGAGCAUUUUUCAGCUCCUACCCAUGUCCCCGAGGACACAUAAGGCAAUGAAAAUUGUCCUUGUCUUAGUGGGGUUCCUCUAAGCCUUUGCCUUCCUGUAGCUGCUUCUGUCAUUAACUAUGAAAGAGUCUUAGGCUAAACAGGAUUAAUAAAAUGAAU